GGGGCUAUGGCUCAAUGGUAGAGCUUUCGACUCCAGAUCGAAGGG
rnacentral:tRNA from 1 species